rnacentral:rRNA from 1 species
UACGUAGGUGGCAAGCGUUAUCCGGAAUUAUUGGGCGUAAAGCGCGCGCAGGUGGUUUCUUAAGUCUGAUGUGAAAGCCCACGGCUCAACCGGGGAGGGUCAUUGGAAACUGGGAGACUUGAGUGCAGAAGAGGAAAGUGGAAUUCCAUGUGUAGCGGUGAAAUGCGUAGAGAUAUGGAGGAACACCAGUGGCGAAGGCGACUUUCUGGUCUGUAACUGACACUGAGGCGCGAAAGCGUGGGGAGCAAACAGG